rnacentral:lncRNA from 1 species
AUGGUGGCUCCAGGAGGGUUGCUGGGUCGGUCCGCCGGAGGCCUGUCUGUUGCUGGAGCUUCUGCAGGCUUGUCCCCAAGCACACUGGGGGGCACUCAGCAGCCCCCCCCCACCCACAUGGGCUCAUGUCCCCCACCUGCCGGGGCAGCAGGUCUCGGGCCAGAACUUGACACAAUGAACACAGGUCAUGCAACUUGCUUUUGUUCCCUUUGGCUCCUUUCCUCAGAAGGAGCAGCGCCCCCUGCGCGAGGACGUGGCCUCGGCUCGGGCCUGGAGGCUGGCUCUCCUCUCGGCCAGGCGGGCAGAGGCGCUGCUGAGCCCACAGGGCGGGCCUCUGCCCACAGCCGCCCCAGGAAGGGCCCCGGGCGGUGUCACCCCAGCAGCGCUGGCCGGGCCCCCAGGGGCCACCUCGGGGACCGCAGGACGGGCGGCACAGCCCCUCUCGGGCAGCACUUCCCGUGGGUCUCAACGACCAUGCUGGGAAGGUGGGGACACGAGCAGGUGGGGACUUGCUGUGGGACAGAGGUGGGGGGAGCCCUUUGGGGUCCAGGGGGCCCGUGGGACCUGGAGGCAGAGGCUUCCAGGAGAAGCAGAGGUGCAGACUCUGAGGGGCUGAGAGCGGUGCCCCCACAGCCUAGCAAGCGACAGCACGCCCCAAACGUCCUCGGCAACAACAGGGCGGGCUGCCGGGGGCCCAGGGGACUCGGGGCUCCCUCCUUUGGGGGGGAGGGGGCGGGAAGCCCAGCCUGCAUUGGCCCUGGAGCAGGCGCCUGGGGGUGCCCACAUGCCCUCAGCCCGGAGGGGGAGGCUCCCUGCACGAGGACAGUGGGUCCUGGGGGGCCCAUCACAGCAGGGCCGCCCCCAGCCACCCUGGGGCGUUACAGAUGGGGUGGGUCUGUGCGCCCUGAGACCCGAGCACGUGGGGAGUCUGUGCCACCCGGAGGCUGUGUGCUCGUGGGAGGGUGCGCUGUCCCGAGGGGCUGCGAUGAGGGGCUGUGCGGCCACGGGAGGGUGUGUGGUCAUGGGUGGCCGCGGUCGAGGGACGGUGCGCGGGCACGGGAAGGCUCGCCGUCAUGGGAGGGCGUGCACGGCUGCACUGGGGCCACUGGCUUUAUUUUUUUUUAA